rnacentral:rRNA from 1 species
UGGGGAAUAUUGGACAAUGGGCGCAAGCCUGAUCCAGCCAUGCCGCGUGAGUGAUGAAGGCCCUAGGGUUGUAAAGCUCUUUCACCGGUGAAGAUAAUGACGGUAACCGGAGAAGAAGCCCCGGCUAACUUCGUGCCAGCAGCCGCGGUAAUACGAAGGGGGCUAGCGUUGUUCGGAUUUACUGGGCGUAAAGCGCACGUAGGCGGACUAUUAAGUCAGGGGUGAAAUCCCGGGGCUCAACCCCGGAACUGCCUUUGAUACUGGUAGUCUUGAGUUCGAGAGAGGUGAGUGGAAUUCCGAGUGUAGAGGUGAAAGUCGUAGAUAUUCGGAGGAACACCAGUGGCGAAGGCGGCUCACUGGCUCGAUACUGACGCUGAGGUGCGAAAGCGUGGGGAGCAAACAGG